UACGUAGGGUGCAAGCGUUGUCCGGAAUUAUUGGGCGUAAAGAGCUCGUAGGCGGUUUGUCGCGUCUGCUGUGAAAACUCGGGGCUUAACCCCGGGCCUGCAGUGGGUACGGGCAGACUAGAGUGCGGUAGGGGAGACUGGAAUUCCUGGUGUAGCGGUGAAAUGCGCAGAUAUCAGGAGGAACACCGGUGGCGAAGGCGGUUCUCUGGGCCUGUUCUGACGCUGAGGAGCGAAAGCGUGGGGAGCGAACAGG
rnacentral:rRNA from 1 species